rnacentral:rRNA from 1 species
UACAGGGGUGCAACGUUGCUCGGAAUUAUUGGGCGUUAAAGGCGCGACGUAGGCGGCCUUUUAAGUCGGAUGUGAAAGCCCUCGGCUCAAACUGGGGAGGUCAUUCGAUACUGAUCGACUCGAAGGCAGGAGAGGGUAGUGGAAUUCCCGGUGUAGUGGUGAAAUGCGUAGAGUAUACGGGAGGAACACCCAGGUGGCGAAGG